rnacentral:lncRNA from 1 species
UCCACUCUCCCUUCCCUCUCUCCAGUCCCUUCCGUGUUGCUCGCCCCGCUUUCCUCCAUCUUCAGCCCCUCUCUUUGCCCUCCACCCGCCCUUGCUCUCAGUCCCCUUGUUCCGUUGUUCCCCAGCCUCCUUCUUGCUCUCCAGCCCCCUUAUUUGAUAUCCGCCUUUCCCUCCUUGUUCAUCAGACCCCUUUCUUGGUUCUCCAUCGCCUUCCUUCCUCUCCAGGCCCUCCAUUCUUGUUCUCCACUCCCUGCCUUUCCCUUCACUCCCCCUCCUUAUUCUCCCCUUUCUCUCCAGCCCCCAUUCCUUGUUCUCCAGCCCCCAUUCCUUGUUCUCCAGUACCCCCUCCUUUCUCUUCAACCCCCCUUCCUUGCCCUCCAGCCCCCUUAUUUGAUAUCCGCCUUUCCCUCCUUGUUCACCAGCCCUUUUCCUGGUUCUUCAUCUCCUUCCUUCCUCUCCAGGCUCUCCAUUCUUGUUCUCCACUCCCCUCCUUUCCCUUCAGCCCCCCCUCCUUAUUCUCCCCUUUCUCUCCAGCCCCCAUUGCUUGUUCUCCAGUAUCCCUCCUUUCUCUUCAGCCCCCCUUCCUUGCUCUCCAUCCCCUUUCCUUGCUCUCCACCCCCUGCUUUUCUUGCUUUCCACCCUCCCUCCUUGUUCCCCAGUCCCUUCCUUCUGCUCCAGCCUAGGACAGAGCUGGGCUGGGAUCCAGGGGCAGCCCCAGCUGCUCUGGGCUCCCUGUGCAGGACCUGCCCACCCUCCCUAAUUCCCAAUAUCCCGUCCAGCCCUGCCCUCUGGCAGUUUAAAACCAUUGCCCCUUGUCUUGGCACUCUCUGCCCAUAUAAAAAGUCCCUCUCAUUCCUUUUUAGCACUGGAAGGGGCUCUAAGGUCUCCCUGGAAUUGUCCCUUCUCCAGGCUGGACAAUCCCAGUUCUCCGGCCUCUUUCCAGAGCAGAGGGGCUCCAAUUUUGGGAUCAUCUUUGUGAUGCCAUGGUGGAAGAGUCUGAUGUGCCCCUGGCAUUUCUGGGUUUGGUUUGAUUUUAAUCCAGCCAAUGUGAAUGAAACAUCCCAUCUGCUCUGUUCCUGUUUUCCAGAGUUUGGAGUAUGUGAGGAGCUGCCAGAGGAAUCACUCAUAUUUUAA